rnacentral:rRNA from 1 species
CCAGCGAGUAAUGUCGGGAACUCCAGGGAGACUGCCGGUGAUAAACCGGAGGAAGGUGGGGACGACGUCAAGUCAUCAUGGCCCUUACGAGUAGGGCUACACACGUGCUACAAUGGCGCAUACAGAGGGCGGCCAACUUGCGAAAGUGAGCGAAUCCCAAAAAGUGCGUCGUAGUCCGGAUUGGAGUCUGCAACUCGACUCCAUGAAGUCGGAAU